rnacentral:rRNA from 1 species
GAUGAACGCUGGCGGCGUGCCUAAUACAUGCAAGUCGAGCGAACGGACGAGAAGCUUGCUUUUCUGAUGUUAGCGGCGGACGGGUGAGUAACACGUGGAUAACCUACCUAUAAGACUGGGAUAACUUCGGGAAACCGGAGCUAAUACCGGAUAAUAUUUUGAACCGCAUGGUUCAAAAGUGAAAGACGGUCUUGCUGUCACUUAUAGAUGGAUCCGCGCUGCAUUAGCUAGUUGGUAAGGUAACGGCUUACCAAGGCAACGAUGCAUAGCCAACCUGAGAGGGUGAUCGGCCACACUGGAACUGAGACACGGUCCAGACUCCGACGGGAGGCAGCAGUAGGGAAUCUUCCGCAAUGGGCGAAAGCCUGACGGAGCAACGCCGCGUGAGUGAUGAAGGUCUUCGGAUCGUAAAACUCUGUUAUUAGGGAAGAACAUAUGUGUAAGUAACUGUGCACAUCUGGACGGUACCUAAUCAGAAAGCCACGGCUAACUACGU